CAUGUUUAACCGGCGGACGUUAAGAACCGAAUGUCGAACACCAUCCUAAGCGAAGUUUCUGUCGCAAUAGAAGUUUAAAAUAGGUAUUUAGCGAUAGUGUUGCAGCGCAACAUAAAAAAUAGUUAGAGUAUGAACAUUUAAAAUCCAAUACAUACUUACUAAGGCGAAAUAAGUUAAUUUAGUACUGCAAGUUUGAGGAUCAGCUCCCUACAUCGCAACAAUGGAGUGUGAUAUUUUCAGCGAGAAAAGCAUGAUAGUCGUACCGCCAAGUCUACCGAACAUUCUUUUGGAAUUUACAAAAGCUGCUAUCAAGACGCAACCAUCAGAUUUGCUGGGAUGGGCUGCAGCUUACUUUCGAAGCAAAGUCAAAGAGCAAUCUUCGAAUUAAAAUAAGUAUCACAGUUGUUAUCACUGCUUUCAAUUUAUAAAUACUGCUGCAAUUGGGCGAAUAUUGAUCGUCUCUCAUGAUCAGUUUAACUAAACUAUAUAAUACUUACUCCAAAAUAUAUGGAUGAUUUUUUUCAUUACA